rnacentral:miRNA from 1 species
CAAAAGUGGAACAUUGAUUACAGUGUCGAGGGACAUUGUGUUUGUCACUUUUUUUCUUUAUACCAUAAAAAUGUUCUCUUAAUUAAGAUUGGUAUAAAGAAAAAAAGUGCACUUUACUAUUUACUCCCUCGACACUGUAAUCAAUGUUCCACUUU